GAGAGCGACCAGUGCUUGCACUGGUCAAUCUAGUGGCGAACGGGUGAGUAACACGUGGGUAACCUGCCCAUCAGAGGGGGAUAACAUUCGGAAACGGAUGCUAAAACCGCAUAGGUCUUCGAACCGCAUGGUUUGAAGAGGAAAAGAGGCGCAAGCUUCUGCUGAUGGAUGGACCCGCGGUGCAUUAGCUAGUUGGUGAGGUAACGGCUCACCAAGGCCGUGAUGCAUAGCCGACCUGAGGCGAGGGUGAUCGGCCACAUUGGGACUGAGACACGGCCCAAACUCCUACGGGAGGCAGCAGUAGGGAAUCUUCCGCAAUGGACGCAAGUCUGACGGAGCAACGCCGCGUGAGUGAAGAAGGUUUUCGGAUCGUAAAACUCUGUUGUUAGAGAAGAACAAGUGCUAGAGUAACUGUUAGCGCCUUGACGGUAUCUAACCAGAAAGCCACGGCUAACUACGUGCCAGCAGCCGCGGUAAUACGUAGGUGGCAAGCGUUGUCCGGAUUUAUUGGGCGUAAAGCGAGCGCAGGCGGUUCCUUAAGUCUGAUGUGAAAGCCCCCGGCUCAACCGGGG
rnacentral:rRNA from 1 species